GAGGUUACUUCAGGUCACUGUGGGAGCCACCCGGAUGGGUUGGGCUGCUCACAAAUCUGGCAGGGAUGAGGCACCACAGAGGCAGCAGGGACAGAUUUCGGGUAGCAGACAAGCUGAACACGCGAAGUCACCGCAGUUUAGCCCAGGGAAAUUUUUCUAGGUGCAUUUAGAAUGGACUUCUAGAAAAUUCUCCAGAAAUGUCUAGCGGUAAAUUUUGACCCACACUGGAUAAACGGGAGACACUACUGUAUUAUUUUUAAAAAGAGGAAAAGAAGGGGAAGCAAAGUAGACCGACUUCUUGGUGUUUUCCCUGUCAAAAUACUUAGUGGCAGAAAUUUCAAUUUACCAUUCAUUUUCUAAAGGGAUUGUUGCCUAUUUCCCUGUCCCUUGGCGUGAUUCUUUUUAUCUCAGUGUCCUAGUGUCCUAGACCAUCCUUGCUUCAGAGCACCAGAAAAGAUUUCCCAGGUAUGGGUGUGGGUUAGACUUCUGCAGCCUCGUAGGACAGUUGAGGACAUGAUGGACCUCCUCCCUUCUGCCAACAGCUCAGGCUAGGAUACAGGGUAGGAGGUAAAAAUGCCUUGGGGAAAAUACACAUUUCCAGUUGCUGUGGGGCUUGUUAUUUCUCAACUGAACAAAUUAUUCUAUGCCUAGAAACAAAGAAGCUUUGAGAUACAACAACGGAGCUCUCAUGUCUAACUUCCCAGAAUCCAAAUUCAGGAAAGUAUUCUGGCUCGUUCACUCAGAACCUGUCCUUUGACCCUCAUCCAGAUGUGCAUUAGGGGAGAACAAGAAAACAUUAUCAAGUGAGGGAUGAUUUCAACAUGUGGAUGAAAGGAACUCUGCAAGGAGCUGCAAGGGGGAAAAGGCUUACUGGGCUCAAAGGCACAUUUUCUUCUCACCACGGGGCCUUUGCAUGUCCAUCAGCCACCAGAGAGCAGCAAAUUCUUCAUCUGCAUAUGAUGGAUCUCUCCAGUCCUAGAUACGAGACUGACUCCUCAGAAGAGCACUGAGUAUCCCAGCAUCACUCGGAUAUGACUCUGUAGUGGCAUGGACAGAAAGCUUCUGACCUAAGACACCAUGGCUGAGGUAGAAAAUGGACCUGUGCUCUGUUUAAAGGAAUAAGGCCACUUUUCCAAAGCCGGUUAGGGCCCAUGAAAGACUUUUUAUGUUUAUAUGUGGGAAUCCCAACCUAACCCCAAAACAAUCUACAGCAGAUGUUAUUUAAAAUGAAUUCUAUGUUAAUAAAAUAGUCUCCUAUUUUGGUUUUCA